UACGGGGGGGGCAAGCGUUGUUCGGAAUUACUGGGCGUAAAGGGCUCGUAGGUGGCCAACUAAGUCAGACGUGAAAUCCCUCGGCUUAACCGGGGAACUGCAUCUGAUACUGGAUGGCUUGAGAUUGGGAGAGGGACGCGGAAUUCCAGGUGUAGCGGUGAAAUGCGUAGAUAUCUGGAGGAACACCGGUGGCGAAGGCGGCGUCCUGGACCAACACUGACACUGAGGAGCGAAAGCCAGGGGAGCAAACGGG
rnacentral:rRNA from 1 species